rnacentral:rRNA from 1 species
AUUGAACGCUGGCGGCAGGCUUAACACAUGCAAGUCGAACGGUAACAGGAGAAAGCUUGCUUUCUUGCUGACGAGUGGCGGACGGGUGAGUAAUGCUUGGGAAUCUGGCUUAUGGAGGGGGAUAACGACGGGAAACUGUCGCUAAUACCGCGUAGAGUCGAGAGACGAAAGUGCGGGACCGCAAGGCCGCAUGCCAUAGGAUGAGCCCAAGUGGGAUUAGGUAGUUGGUGGGGUAAUAGCCUACCAAGCCGACGAUCUCUAGCUGGUCUGAGAGGAUGACCAGCCACACCGGGACUGAGACACGGCCCGGACUCCUACGGGAGGCAGCAGUGGGGAAUAUUGCGCAAUGGGGGCAACCCUGACGCAGCCAUGCCGCGUGAAUGAAGAAGGCCUUCGGGUUGUAAAGUUCUUUCGGUAUUGAGGAAGGUUGUUGUGUUAAUAGCACGACAAAUUGACGUUAAAUACAGAAGAAGCACCGGCUAACUCCGUGCCAGCAGCCGCGGUAAUACGGAGGGUGCGAGCGUUAAUCGGAAUAACUGGGCGUAAAGGGCACGCAGGCGGACUUUUAAGUGAGGUGUGAAAUCCCCGGGCUUAACCUGGGAAUUGCAUUUCAGACUGGGAGUCUAGAGUACUUUAGGGAGGGGUAGAAUUCCACGUGUAGCGGUGAAAUGCGUAGAGAUGUGGAGGAAUACCGAAGGCGAAGGCAGCCCCUUGGGAAUUGUACUGACUCUCAUGUGCGAAAGCGUGGGGGAGCAAACGGG